rnacentral:tRNA from 1 species
AUAGAGCCUUAGUAGUAUAGUUAA